rnacentral:lncRNA from 1 species
CCGUGGGUGUACGCGGCGCAGCGCGGCAGCCCUGAUGGCCCGGCAUGGGUUACCGCUGCUGCCCCUGCUGUCGCUCCUGGUCGGCGCGUGGCUCAAGCUAGGAAAUGGACAGGCUACUAGCAUGGUCCAACUGCAGGGUGGGAGAUUCCUGAUGGGAACAAAUUCUCCAGACAGCAGAGAUGGUGAAGGGCCUGUGCGGGAGGCGACAGUGAAACCCUUUGCCAUCGACAUAUUUCCUGUCACCAACAAAGAUUUCAGGUCAAGUUUACCCAUGGGGGAACUGGUUCCAGCCAAACCGCACCAACCUGUGGCAGGGAAAGUUCCCCAAGGGAGACAAAGCUGAGGAUGGCUUCCAUGGAGUCUCCCCAGUGAAUGCUUUCCCCGCCCAGAACAACUACGGGCUCUAUGACCUCCUGGGGAACGUGUGGGAGUGGACAGCAUCACCGUACCAGGCUGCUGAGCAGGACAUGCGCGUCCUCCGGGGGGCAUCCUGGAUCGACACAGCUGAUGGCUCUGCCAAUCACCAGGCCCGGGUCACCACCAGGAUGGGCAACACUCCAGAUUCAGCCUCAGACAACCUCGGUUUCCGCUGUGCUGCAGAUGCAGGCCGGCCGCCAGGGGAGCUGUAAGCAGCCGGGUGGUGACAAGGAGAAAAGCCUUCUAGGGUCACUGUCAUUCCCUGGCCAUGUUGCAAACAGCACAAUUCCAAGCUCGAGAGCUUCAGCCUCAGGAAAGAACUUCCCCUUCCCUGUCUCCCAUCCCUCUGUGGCAGGCGCCUCUCACCAGGGCAGGAGAGGACUCAGCCUCCUGUGUUUUGGAGAAGGGGCCCAAUGUGUGUUGACGAUGACUGGGGGCCAGGUGUUUCUGUUAGAGGCCAAGUAUUAUUGACACAGGAUUGCAAACACACAAACAAUUGGAACAGAACACUCUGAAAGGCCAUUUGUUAAGCAUUUUAAAAUCUAUUCUCUCCCCCUUUCUCCCUGGAUGAUUCAGGAAGCUGACAUUGUUUCCUCAAGGCAGAAUUUUCCUGGUUCUGUUUUCUCAGCCAGUUGCUGUGGAAGGAGAAUGCUUUCUUCGUGGCCUCAUCUGUGGUUUCGUGUCCCUCUGAAGGAAACUAGUUUCCACUGUGUAACAGGCAGACAUGUAACUAUUUAAAGCACAGUUCAGUCCUAAAAGGGUCUGGGAGAACCAGAUGAUGUACUAGGUGAAGCAUUGCAUUGUGGGAAUCACAAAGCAAAUAGUACUCCAGAAAGACAAAUAUCAGAAGCUUCCUAUUCUUUUUUUUUUUUUUUUUUUGAGACAGGGUCUUUCUCUGUUGCCCAGGCUAGAGUGCAGUGGUGAUCACGGCUCACUCUAGCCUUGAACUCCUGGGCCCAAGCAAUUCUCCCACCUCAGCCUCCUGAGUAGCUGGGACUACAAGUGUGCACCACCAUGCCUGGCUAAUUUUUUGAAUUUUUAUAGUGAUGGGAUCUCACUCUGUUGCCCAGGGUGGUCUCGAACUCCUGGCCUCAAGCGAUCCUCCCACCUCGACCUCCCAAAGUGCUGGGAUUACAGGUGUGAGCCACCUCGCCUGGGCCCCCUUCUCCAUAUGCCUCCAAAAACAUGUCCCUGGAGAGUAGCCUGCUCCCACACUGUCACUGGAUGUCAUGGGGCCAAUAAAAUCUCCUGCAAUUGUGUAUCUCAGACAUUUGUGUGUCUUUGAUCCUCACCCUGUGACCCUAAGGGAAGAAAGCCUGAGUGUCAGUAACUCUGGGCCUCCCCUAAAGAGAAAUGGAGAUGGUGGCUCAUCUAGGAAGUAGAGGAGCAGGGGGUUCCUGGUUCUCAGGCCACGUGUGAUCUCUGCCCACCCAGGGCCUGCCCCAGCCUGCAGGUAUUGCUGUGUGGUGGGAACACCCACUUCCCUUGUGCACAGCCUUUGAGAGGGGAUCGUGGCCUCAGCUCCAGGGGUUCCUGGCCAGGGCCAAGUGCUCCUUCUGCAGAGGCCUGCACGCAUCUCACCCCUUUGACUUGUAUUUCCAUGGCUUCCCCUCCCCACCUGCCCCCUAGCCCUCCCUGACUGGCCAGCCCCUCAGUAGUCCUCCUCGGCCAGGGAGAGGAGCACGGCCUUGGGUGUGUUCUCGAAAAGGGCUGCCCGGUUCUGCUGCUGCCCCUUCUUCACCCAGUGGCCAUAGAUUCGGAAAGCGUAGGCGUCGAUGAGCCGGCGCAGAGGCCGGAGGGCAUAGGGGUCUCGGAUGACGAUCUCCCGGGUCACAGGCUUCACCCGGCG